GGAUCGAACACUGGGAAGGGUUUUUACUUUAACUGGUGAAGUUCGGAGGAUGGAGUGAACUUUUCUUAAUAAAAAUUAGGUUAAGAUGAAAACAUAAAAAGAUGAAGGCGUUGUAAACUAAACUAACAUGAAAAUAGGUUAAAAGAUGGAAAAAGAAGUUUCUCAAAGCUUUGGAUAGCCAUGCUUAACUCACUGUGUAAAAAUGGAGAUUUUGGGACUCUUCACCUCGAGUUGGGGAAGCAACUAAGGUGAUGCUUACUUCCCGAACCGGUAUGAGUUUAACAACUGAGUUUUAGUCCUUGAAAACUUACAAAAAGGGUAGCUGAACCUCAUAAAUGCUCUUUUAUUAGUAUAGGUCAUCUCCUCGACUUGCAAUACAAUGGCUCGUAGGAGAUAAUUAAUGAACGUCAGUGGAUCUAACAAUAAGAAUCCACUGAGACCAAAAGGUUAUCAAGUAUUGGCCAUUCAAAGCAAGUUAGAGGGAUUAAAAGCUUUACUUUGAAUGAAAACAUUUAUGACGCUUAGCUACUUACAUUUAUGGCUUGGAAAUCUUCAUCGUGACACGGGAGCUUCACAUGGCAUCCAUUACUUCAAGAAACUAAAAGGAUUUAGCCUUUCAUCCUUGGGGAUUUCAUCCUCCAAGGAUGUUUGGCUACUAAGAAAAUGAGAAAGAAAAGAGAAAAGAAGCGUAUGAACAGAAGUGCUCUUAUAACUUAUAAAGUUACAGGUUACAAGAUGAUCGUGUCUGAGGCUCUUCACCUCUAUUUAAAGACAAUAAAAAGCUAAAUUACAAGAGCUAUUACAAAAGCAACCUUUUCAUUGGUUGAUUACAAGGGUAAAAUAGAUUUUUACAAAGCUAAAAGUCAAGCAAAAUAUCUUGGAGAACCGGCAGUGGAAUAUCAUCAACAGCGUCUCAAAACAGGGGAUUUCAAAGGCAUUUCGCAAAGGGGGGGAGGGGGAGGGGAAGAUGAAAGGUCCAAAUUUUGCAAGGUGCCUAAAUCCAGCUUGCGAAAUUUCGCAAGGUGGUUUCUUCAUGGUGCGAAAUGGCCAAAUUUCGCACCAUGAGGAAAAUCCCCUUGCGAAAUUUUGGCAAGGCGAAAUUCACCUUGCGAAAUGGUGUUCCCAUUGCUUGUGCUCGUGUUUCCACUUGAAAUUCAAGCCUGUAAACGUCCAAAAUCCUUGCUUAACUCACCCAAGUAGCUCCUCCAUCAAUUGGUAUGCUUGAAUUGGUUCAUAAGCUGAUGAAAAACAUGUAAACUUGCCACUAAAAAUGGUUAGAACUAAUUACUAAGGAGCUUAAUGAAUUAAUUGGGUUAAAUGAAUAUGAUUACUACACAAAGGUGCUUAAAACCCUUAUAAUUAGGUCUACAAAAUAGCACUUUUUGGUAGUAAUCACACCCCCCAACCGACUCAUUGCUAGUCCCUUAGCAAUGGAGGAGAUAAAAACUAAGCAAACAUAAUAAUAUACAUAAAAGAGGUCAUGCAAAUCACUCCAAAAAAUAAUUGAGUGGCAUGACUGAUAUCAAAACACAUCUCACAUGGUGAACUAAAGAUAUGAAGAUUCAAAAUGCAAUAGGAGUUGUCAAAGCUAAAACUUAAACAAAAAGUACAAAGAGUGGAGAUUAUGCAAUUAAGUAUCAAAAGAAUCUCUACUCUCAAGGUUCCGAAUCAAACUCUUCCAUAAUGAGCUAAGUGUUAAUGAGAUUAGCUUCCAGAUAUAGUAUGUACAACUAUCCUCUCCCCCCAACCUAAGCUUUUCUCGAACUUUGGCAAAAUUAACCAACUCUUAAUAGGUUAGGAACGCACCUUCUUAUUCACAAUUCUUUUUAUUCACUAAACUUAACCAAUUCACCUAUGUAGCAAGCAGAGGAUCGAUGACUCCCAACCAAUCAGGGUUUAGGGCAUCGGGUUUUAAAGGCUUUCGCCACCCAUUCGGAUCAUGCUUAGGUUUCAAGGAAAGAAUAGAAGCUUAUUCUCUUUUUUUUUUUUUUUUUUUUUUUUUUUUAAGACUCAUUGGUCUUUUUGAGGUGUCCCAACACUAUUAAAAAGAGGUUAAGUAAUGAACCAAGUCAAAAUUUUCCUAAGCUUAAAGGGUGAGAAAGUUUUACAUCAUAUAUCCGAGAUCUAAUGUGCACGGUGUGUGUAAAGCUUGAAAUGGAAGAAAAAAGUUCGAAAUCAAAGAGGGUUUCAAUAGAUUAUCAACUUUGAAAGCAUAAAACAAACUCUAAGACUUAAGUAAUUAAGUUAAAACUCGACUUAUCCUAUUUUAUUUUGAGAAAUUAUCUUUAACAACCAUAGAGAAUGAAACAAAAAUUUUUGAAAAAGGUCAAAAACUACUAAAUCAACAAAAUAACUAACUAAAAUAGGAAAUACUUACUUCCUCAACUCUCCCCCCAACCGAGAUGAACAUUGUCCCCAAUGUUUCUAUCGAAAAAGACGAGGAAGGAAUGAUAUACCUUAUGGUGAUGUGGUAUUCAAGGCGUGUGAGUGCAUCCACAUGAUUCAAAAACCAUAAGAAACGUGAGAGAGGAAAUAAGAUACAAAAAAUGAUGCUUAUAUAAACUGAGAGAGUUGAGUACAAGAUAUAAGCAUGAGGUACAUACAAUCUCAGAAUAUAAAACAUGUAUCAUAUACAAAAUGGAGAUAGAAAUAUCCAAUCAUGGAUGUGGCUCCUGAGGUGGAGGAGGUGAUAUGCCCAGGUGAUGGUGGAUCUGAGAGAGCAUGGCGGAGUGCUGGUCCAGGAUAGCUGUAUGCUGAGCCUGAAUAGAUGUAUGCUGAGCCUGAUGUGUCUGUAUGGUAUCCAUCUGUCGUCUGAUGGCCUGCAUCUCACGGACUAAGGUGGCCUGAGAGGUGCUCAAUGAGUGAAAGGACGACAUGAGAGCUCUGAACUCUGUAGCGGAGACAGCAAUGGAUGGCCCGGCUGAAGACUCAGCAUAGGCUGGAGCAGGAGUGACUGGUGGUGUGGGAGUAUCAGUAGUGCAAGUCACUAGAGCAGGUACUGAAGAAGAAGGCUCUGUGGUAUGUGGGUCCUGCUCUGGUGAUGUCUGUGCUGUAGGUGCUGAGGUUGCUGGAGAAUCGGGAGGCGCUGGAGAAGCUGGAGGCGCGGGAGCUAAUGGUCUAGGGAUACCCUAGUCCAUGGGUGAGAGGUCUAAGAAAUGGGUCCAACUCUCACUGGUAAAGAGCUCUCGACAAUGAUGACGACGCUCUAGAUGGGGCUGAGAAGGGUAUCCCAUAUCCUCUAAGACCUGAGAGAUCAGCCUUGGAAAUAAGAGUGGAAUAGUACCAGCUCUGUGUAGGCGCUUCCUAUGCACCUUCUCCUCAAAAUAGGUAAGAGUAGCCAUGACUAGAUGGUGGGGUCCAAAGUAGAAUCCCUCAGAGAUGCGGUAAAGCGCAUCUAAGAUAGCACCUCUCCUCUGGACGACAUGCUGGAGGGGAAAAAGAUUGGUGCGGAGCACCAAAUCGAUAAGUAACAUCUGUGGAGGAAGCUCCCUCCUCAAAAUGGUCCUACCAGUGACUCUACCUCCUGAUAAGGUAGACACCAUGUCGGGCUCUGAAUACUGAGACCAAUGCCGGAAGGAACCAAGGUCCUCAAGGAUAGGCGGAAAAUGCAUAGCGGCGGCUAUAUCUCGGGCCUCUAAAAUACCAUGCUGGCCAUCAAUAAAAAAAUGAAUGGCUAUGGGGUCCGGACGCCUCUAGUAGUCAUAGUCUGGUAGAAAUCUAAGACUACCCUAGGGUAAUAGAAGGACCUAGGAGUCAUAAAUGGCUCGAUGUGGUACCUCUACAGAAGGCGGUAUGACUCCUCUAGCUCUGGUAAUAGGCGGAGAGUCUCAUGCUCCAUACAGAUCUCGUAGUGAAAUGGCCUAUCUCUGAUAUCCGUGUUGCCUGGGAGGGGUGGCCCUACUAUCAUAGGCCGCUUGAGGACCUCUGCUAGGUGUGAAGGGCCUGGGAUAGUAGAUAUUGGAGGUGAUGGAGGGGCUCUGGAGGACUCGCCUGGUCCUGAAAUCCUAGUCCUCUUAGGUGAAAGACUGCUCACAAGGGGUGGCAUUGGUGCCCUGGAAGACCCAGAUGAUCGUCUGGUCCCGUACCCGUGCUGAGUAGAGGGAACUGGGGUCUGGGCAGGCUGAGAUGGUGUAGAACGACCACCUCUCUGUGAGUGGGCCCCACGCUGACUAGCUGAAGAGGAUGCCCCCCGUGUCUGUGCCAUGGUAUAAAUACUGAAAUAAGACUGAAAAGCACGAAAAAUAGAGCAUCCCUGAUUACUACCAAAAAGUGCUAUUUUGUAGACCUAAUCAUAAUGGUUUUAAGCACCUUUGAGUAGUAAUCAUAUUCAUUUAACCCAAUUAAUUCAUUAAGGUCCUUAGUAAUUGGUUCUAACCAUUUUGUGGUAAGUUUUGGUGCUUUUUGAUAGCUUUUUGCUCACCAAAGCAAUCCAAGAAUGAGGGAGAGCUGUAUAUAGUUCAUGGCAAAGCUUUUGAAAGCUCAAAUUCAUGAAGAAACCAAGCUUUGGAGCUCAAUAACCCUUUUCCAAAGUCGUUCAAAGUAUGCAAGGAAAGAACAAACGGAGAGAGGAAAACAGAGUAAGGAAAAUAGGGGACAGCAACUGCAGCCUUCCUUCGCACUUUUAGAGCACUUUCCGAAGUUCAUUUUCUACAUGCUAUAUACCAUUUCAAAGCUCAGGAAGUCAAGAAUCUAAAGCUUCAAACCGUGUACGAUUUGGAGCUGAAAUGAGGAAGAUAUGGCCUUAGGAAGACAACUGCAUCAAGCUAAAGGACAAUUUCGCACCUUGCGAAAUUGGAACUCCAACGUGCGAAAUUUAAAGUGGAUGGCAGCUGUGUAGUUGCGGUGAAGCCCAGCAUGCGAAGUUGAUUUUGCAACUUGUGGACUUGGAUCUCAACAUGAGAAAGUGAAUUCUAAGUUGCGAAAUCAACUUGCGAAAUUUUCGCAAGUCACCAUGCAACGUGCGAAACUGGGAUAUUUAUGCCGACUCUUUUUCUUCUGAUAUUUUUGUGUCUAAAUUUCCAUUUUCUCCUUGUAUUCAGCCACUCAUGUAAUUCCUUAGCUAUGAAGUAUCCAAGGAAGGGUAAAUUACCUUCCUAUAUAAACUCUCUUGUAAACACUGAAAAAAGGACUCUCGGGGAGCUUUUUCCAAGAGACCAACUUAUGUAAAUUUUACACUUAGUGAAAUACAGAGAUCUCUUUUGCUUUCUUUUUCUCUCUACUAUUUUCUUUUUCUUGGAAGCCAAACAGCCUCUGAGGAUGUUUUCCCAGGGGAUGAGAGGCUAAACUUAUAGUUUCUUGGAGUGAAGGAAGCUAGGUGAAAAGUCCAGAUGAAAAGGUGGAAAGCUUCCGUGCAUUAAAUUCAGGUAGUUGGAGUUCAUAAAUGGCUUCUAAAUCCAAAGUUUUGCUUUAAAUCCCUUAGAAUCACUUUGAACGGCCAAUACAUGGUAAGCUUCAGGUCUCUGUGGAUGCUUAUUGCUAGAUCCAUAUCAGUCCAUUAGUUAUCAUGUACGAGCCAUUGGAAAGUGGUUCAAGGUGAAGACCCAUAGUGUCUUAAGCCAUUAAUGGACCUUGACUAUCAUUUCUAUUGACUUUUUAUAGAUUAAAUCUUCAUUGUUAAACCUAUACCGGUUCGGGAAAUAACUAUAGGUUAAAUCCCCAAUGCGAGGAGAAAAAUCCGGAAUUUCCACUUUGCAUUCUGAACUUGAUCCUAGCAACCCUUAGCUCCGGGAGACUUUCUUUCUUCCAUUUUUACUUAGUUCUAUGUUAGUUUAAUUUCAGUCACCACUUGCAAAACAAAUUUUAUUUUCUUUUAAACUUCAAGUUUAUGAUAAAGGAAAUCAUCAGACUCAAUUUCUAAUCUAGAGUCUGUCACUGAUAGAGUGAAAACCCAUCCCUGAGUUCGACCCUAGAGCUGCUAUACUAUAGUAGCUUUGCUACGCCAGUAUAAGGUCAUAGGAUUUAUAAAUAUUUUUUUAUUAAAAGACCCGACGGGGUAUGAAUAAAUCCCAGGGGUAAAGUGUCAAAAAUAUAGUUGAAAUGGUAACCAGUGCAAAAUUUGCAAGGCAUGAAUAGUGGUUGCUAAAUUUGGCAACGGGCACUAUUCACGCAACACUAAUCACAGGCACUAUUCAUCUUCUUUUCCAAUGCUUACUUUGAAUUUGAGUUUUCAUUUUUAACGGUUUAAAGUUCAGAAAAAGGGUAUGGUUUUAAUGGAAACAUGAUUCUAAAUGCAAUGGAGUAAGUUUGGGAGCCUAAAACACAUUGCAAGAUAGAGAUUUUUGCAAAAAUGGUGGCCGGCCAUGUGGGUCUUUGAUUUGAAAAAAUGGAUUUUUGAAAUGGUUUUAAUGGAUGAAAAUGCAUGUUUAUGGUCCCUUAAACAUUGAAAUGACAUAAACAAGCAAUUUAAGGAGCCAAAAAUGGAGAAAAAUGAAAAAUUAUUCACCUUGGAACAAUGAAGCACGCGGCCUAGAGAGGAAAUGCAAGGGGAAUAGUGUUUUAUGCAUGAAAAAUGAAGUUGAGAAGGCUUUAAAAAGGGUUUUUGGCCAUGAAUUUUUUUUUGAAAAUUUGUCUAAGUACGGGGAUGAACUGAGGAGUGUUAAAACUACAAAAUUGAAGUUUGAAAAUGAAUUUAAAAAGAAUCAAAUCCUUGGUAAGCAUGAAGAAAAAAUUUCGCAAGGUGAAAAUUCACCUUGCCAAAUUUUCGCACUGGCUACUCCCCUUAAAAACCAAUUCCGAGAGGUUGUAAAUUGCAUCUUGCCAAAAUGUGCAUUUCGCAAGGUGAAAAUUGACUUGCGAAAAUUUUCGCACUGGUUACUCCUUGCGAAAGUGCAAUCCCAGCGAAAGUGCAAUCCCGAGAGGUCGUAAAUUGCAUCUUGCCAAAAUGUGCAUUUUGCAAGGUGAAAUUCACCUUGCCAAAUUUUCGCAACUCACUUUUUGAGUUGCGAAAUGGGCUUUUAAGCUUGGACUUAGAUAUAUUUCUCCCCUAUUUCACCUUUCUCUCCACAUUUAUGAGCUUGUGAGCUUUUGUACCUGCUAUUGGACAUCAAAGCUCCAUUAAAAACAUUAAAAAAUCAAAAUCAAAACUAAGAAACCUAAACAAAAUAUGUGCAAAAGUAUUAAAAAUGCAAAGUAAACAAGAAUGUAAUACUAAAAUUAAAACAAAAAGAGAUGAGCACUUAACUUUUCAUGCUAAGCUCAUCAACUUACCACACUUUCUCAAGGAUGUGAUGGGUCAUGGAGGAUGAGUACCUCCUUGUCACGGGAAAAUGGCUCGAUGUAGGGUUUGAGUCUUUGCCCAUUUACCUUGAAGAUCUUUGCACUUUUUGAAUUGAGUAACUCAAUUACUCCAUGUGAGUGUACUUGGUGGAUGACAAAAGGCCCUACCCACCUUGAUUUGAGCUUUCCCGGAAAUAUGUGAAGCUUAGAGUCAUAUAGCAAGACUCUUUGUCCCUUGAAAAAUUCUUUCUUGGUCACCAACUGAUCAUGCCAUCUCUUUAGCUUUUCCUUAGCUAUUUUUGAGUUGAGAUAGGCAUCAUUUCUCAAUUCCUCAAGCUCAUUCAAAUCCAAACUCCUCUUUAGCCUAGCCUUUGUUAAAUCCAUGUUGAGCUUUUUAAUGGCCCACCAUGCCUUGAACUCAAUCUCAACGGGAAGAUGGCAAGCUUUGCCAUAAACAAGACAGUACGGUGACAUCCCAAGGAUAGUCUUAUAAGUCGUCCUAUACGCCCAUAGGGAAUCAAGGAGCUUAAACAAACCAAUCUUUCUUAUUGGUGUUCACCACCUUCAUCAAGAUGUUCUUAAUUUCCCGGUUGGCUAGCUCUACUUGGCCACUCGUCUGAGGAUGAUAAGGUGUAGCUACCUUAUGCUUAAUUCCGUACUUGGCCAAAAGAGCUUCAAAGGGCUUGUUGCACAAGUGAGUGCCUCCAUCACUGAUGAUUGCUUUAGGCACUCCAAACCUCGAGAAGAUGUUUUCUUUUAGGAACUUGAGAACCACUUUGUGAUCAUUGGUUCCACAGGGUAUAGCUUCAACCCACUUUGAAACAUAAUCAACUCCUACCAAGAUGUAGGAGUGGCCAAAAGACAUAGGGAAAGGUCCCAUGAAGUCUAUGCCCCAAACAUAAAAAAGAUCCACUAUCAAGAUGGGGUUCAAAGGCAUCAUGUUUCUCCUUGAAAGCUUGCCUAGUCUUUGGCACUUAUCACAUCCUUUACUUACCUCAUGGGCAUCCUUAAAAAGUGAGGGCCACCAAAAGCCCGAUUGAAGAACUCUCAUUGCCGUCUUUUGAGAGGCAAAGUGGCCUCCACAUGCAUUCCCAUGGCAAUGAGAUAGGAUCCCAUGCUUCUCUUUUUCAGGCACACACUUCCUUAUAAUUUGGUCUGCACAAUACUUGAAGAGAAAAGGCUCCUCCCAAUAAUAUGCAUGGACCUUGGCAAAGAAAUUCUUCUUGUCCUGAGAGCUCCAUUCACUUGGUAUUUCUCCCGUGACCAAGUAAUUGGCAAUGUGUGCAAACCAUGGCACUUCCUCCACAAGCAUCAAGGAUUCCUCAGGGAAAUCAUCAUUUAUGGGAAGUCCAUGGGUGUCAUGAGCGAUGUUGAGCCUUAACAAGUGGUCAGCUACCACAUUCUCAAUACCUUUCUUAUCUCUGAUCUGGAGGUUGAACUCUUGAAGCAAAAGUAUCCACCUAAUCAACCUAGCCUUGGCAUCUUGCUUGGUUAGCAAAUACUUCAAAGCUGAAUGAUCCGUGAAUACCACAAUGGAAGACCCUAUCAAAUAAGCUCUGAACUUAUCCAAAGCAUACACCACAGCAAGUAAUUCCUUCUCAGUGGUGGUGUAAUUCCUUUGAGCAUCAUUCAAAGACUUGCUUGCAUAGUAGAUCACAUAAGGUUUACCAUCUUCUCUUUGUCCCAAAACAGCCCCAAUGGCAUAAUCACUUGAGUCACACAUCACUUCAAAUGGCAACUCCCAAUUUGGUGCUCUCAUAAUGGGCGCUGAUGUCAAGAAUUGCUUAAGAAGCUCAAAACUCCUUUGACAUUUAUCAUCCCACUCAAACUUGGCAUCCUUCACCAAUAAUUCACAAAGAGGUUUGGCAAUCUUGGAAAAAUCCUUUAUAAACCUCCUAUAGAACCCGGCAUGCCCAAGGAAUUGCCUUAUUCCUUUUACAUUGGUGGGAGGUGGCAACUUCACAAUUAGUUCCGCCUUAGCUCUAUCUACCUCUAUACCCUUCUUUGAGAUUACGUGCCCAAGAACAAUACCUUGAUUUACCAUAAAAUGGCACUUCUCCCAAUUGAGUACUAGGUCUUUCUCUAUGCAUCUUUUCAAAACAUCUUCAAGAUGUGACAAACAAUCCUCAAAAGAAGUCCCAUACACAGUUAUGUCAUCCAUGAAGACUUCCAUGAUUCGUUCAACCAUGUCACUGAAGAUGCUAAGCAUGCAUCUUUUGAAGGUAGCAGGAGCGUUGCAUAAUCCAAAAGGCAUCCGCCUAUAAGCAUAGGUGUCGAAUGGACAAGUGAAGGUAGUCUUCUCCUGGUCCUCCACAUCAAUCUCUAUUUGAAAAUACCCGGAAUACCCAUCCAAGAAGCAAUAAAAAGGAUGCCCAGAUACUCUCUCAAGGACUUGAUCCAUGAAAGGUAAAGGGAAGUGAUCCUUUCUCGUUACUGUGUUCAACUUCCUGUAGUCAAUGCACACCCUCCAACCAGUUGUGAGGUGUGUGGACACUUCAUCUCCAUUUUCCCCCUUGACUACGGUUAUCCCGGACUUCUUUGGAACAACUUGGGUUGGACUCACCCAAGUGCUAUCUGAAAUGGGGUAAAUGAUGCCCGCUUGAAGAAGCUUCAACACUUCAGCCCUUACUACCUCUUGCAUAUGAGGAUUCAAUCUCCUCUGUGGCUGACGAGUUGGCUUAGCUCCCUCCUCCAUAUAAAUAUGGUGCGUGCAAAUCAAUGGGCUUAUCCCCUUCAAAUCAGAAAUUUGCCAUCCGAUGGCCUUCUUGUGCUUUCUAAGGAUUCUUAGAAGAUUGUCCUCUUGUGAAACGGUUAAAGAAGAAGAAAUUACCACUGGGGCUUUAUUGCCUUCCUCCAAGUAAGCAUACUUCAACUCGGCAGGAAGGGUCUUCAAUUCAAGCUUAAGGAUUGCAUCCUUAGCUUCUUUCAUCUCUUCCUCAUCCUUGAACAAAGGGAGGAUCACUGGCUUUUGUCUCCAGUUUGACAUAACAGCAUUCAUUCCCAUGGGUUCAGCUAACCCAUCAUUAAGAUCUUCAUGGAUUUCAUCUGGAUUCUCUUCAAACUAAUCAAGCAUACUCUGAUUACAAUGCUCCUCCACCAGGGUAUCUAUCAUACACACUUCUUCUAGGCCCUCAUCUUCUUCAGGAUGGAUGUGCUUUUGACAUAGAUGGAAGAUGUUGAGUUCCAAUGUCAUAUUCCCAAAAGUGAGUUGCAUGACCCCGUUCCUACAAUUGAUGAUUGCAUUGGAUGUUGCAAGGAAUGGUCUUCCAAGGAUGAUUGGAACAUAGUUGAUCCCUUUGACAAUGGGAUCCGUAUCAAGCACCACAAAAUCUACUGGAUAGUAGAAUUUGUCAACUUGAACCAAUACAUCCUCUAUUACCCCCCUGGGGAUUUUCACUGAUCGGUCAGCUAAGGAUAGGGUGAUCGAUGUUGGCUUGAGUUCUCCCAACCCCAGGUCCUUGUAUAUAGAGUAUGGAAGCAAGUUAACACUUGCCCCCAAAUCAAGCAAUGCCUUCUCCACUUGGGUUCCUCCAAUAUUGACUGAGAUUGUAGGACACCCCGGAUCUUUGUAUUUGAUUGGAGAGUUGCAUUAGAUUAUAGCACUCACUUGCUCGGUUAGGAAGGCUUGCUUUGUAACAUUGAGUCCUCUUUUCACAGUGCACAAGUCCUUCAAAAACUUUGCAUAUGUGGGUACUUGCUUGAUCAUAUCAAGUAAAGGAAUAUUCACCUUCACUUGUCUUAGCACAUCAAGAAUCUCAGAAGCAUUCUUGAUUGGUUUCUUCCCACGCAAGGCUUGAGGAAAUGGAGGAGGCAUGUGCUUCUUCAUCAUGCCUUCCUUUAAAAGAAUUUGAGGUUCCUCAUCCAUGCUAGGAAUGAUGCUUUCUUUCAUCUGAACUUCCUUACCCUUUUGUUCUUUCUUCUUUUCUUCUUUUCUAUCAGCCUUGUCUUCGUUGGCUUUCCUCUGAUCAUGCUCCGGCUGAUGCACUUCCUUACCACUUCUCAAAGUGAUAAUAGCUUGCACGUCCCUCACCUUUGAAGAAUCCUCAUCUUUAGAUUCCACUUCAUGUAUCCCCUUAGGAUUUUGGUGAGGCUGAGAGGGAAACUUCCCUUUCUCAUUGACAGUGUUCAAAUUUGUAAGCCUUGAGAUGGAAUAUUGGAUGUUGUCAAUUUUCUGAGACAACUCAUUAUGCAUCCCAUCUAUCUUCUUGUUCAAUGUACUCUCUACGUUGUCAAUCUUCUGAUUUAGUUGAGAGUUGAUGGAUUUUUGGUCACUCACAAAGUCACCCAUAACCUUGCUAAGGCUUAUGAGUGCUUGCUCAACUGAGGAUUGACCUUGACUCUGUUGGCUUGAUUGGGCUGGUGACUGAUAUGGGUUUGGCCUUGGCUUCCAUGCAAAUUUUGGGUGGUUCCUCCAGCUAGAGUUGUACGUGUUGCCAUAGGGAGCAUUUGAAUUUGGCUUCCAUUGGCCAAUCAGGUUAGCUUGUUCCUCGAACAUUUCUCUUGCUGCUGGAAUGGUGGGACAUUCUUCCACCAUAUGUUCAAAUGACUAACAGAUGGAGCAAGGAUUGGCUUGUUGUUGAGGUUCUGAAAUAGCUUGGACUUCGUGAACUUUUCUCAACUCCAUUUCCUCCAUUUUUCUAGCCAUGGCAGCUACCUUGGCUUUCAUCUCCAUGUCUUCACUCAGAUUGUACAUCCCCCCUCUUGACAUUUGCUGAACUGGCCUCUUCCCCAUUUCUCUGUUAUUGGGCUCAUCCCAUCCACGGGAAACCUCUGAGACAUAACUUAGGAAAUCCAUAGCCUCCUCAGGGUUCUUGCUCAUGAAAUCACCCCCACACAUUGUCUCCAAUAUCUGCUUCAUUGAAGAUGACAUGCCAUCAUAAAAAUAGCUCACCAACAGCCAUGUAUCAAAGCCGUGGUGAGGACAUGCAUUGAUGGCCUCCAUAUACCUCUCCCAGUAUUCAUAAAAUUUUUCAUUCUCACGUGCUGAGAAGUUGGAGAUUUGUCUCUUCAAUCCAUUUGUUCUAUGAGUAGGGAAAAACUUCUUCAAAAAAUCAGCUUGAAGUUCUGUCCAUGUUCUUAUGCUUCUCGGCCUCAAGGAAUUGAGCCAUAUCUGGGCUUUGUCCUUUAAUGUGAAUGGAAAGAGCUUCAACCUCAUAAGCUCAAUAGCUGUUCCCCCUUCUUGAAAAGUAUUGCACACAUCUUCGAAUUCCUUUAUGUGCGCAUAUGGAUUUUCACUUUCCAUCCCAUGGAAAGUAGGAAGCAGAGGCACGAUGUGUGGCCUGAUAAUCAAUUGCUUUGUAGGAGGAAUGAUGCAAGAUGGUGCACUCAUCCUCGGAGGGUGCAUCCUGUCCCUCAUGGACCUAUACAAGUUCGGAUCAUUCUACUGCCCGUGUUGUGAAUGUUGAUCCUCUGGCUGAUUCUCCAUGACUUCCAAAAUAAUCUCUAAUUCAGUAGCUCGUGGAGUCUCUAUCCGCACUAACCUUCCCUCUUGGUCUCUAAUCCAAUAGGGCAUGCACGGAUUCAGCUGGAACAAAACAAAUAAACAAAACAAAGAAAAAGAAAAAAAAAACAGAGCAUGCGGAAGGAAAAACAAAGUAUGAAAAAUAAACUAAAAAUGAAAGUUAAAAGCUAAAAGAAACUUAUCUAAACUAAGUUAAAAAUGUUCUAAAACUAAAAUAAAAAGUUAGUAAAUGAAAAAUGAGAUAGAAUUCACCUCACUCAUGAGAAGUCUCACAAGUUACCUCCGGCUGAUCUAUUCACAGUGAAGUAGCACCCCUCCUCGGCAACGGCGCUAUUUGAUAACCCGACUCUUGGUAGCUUGGCAUGUAAGGGUAUCAACAAAAUUUAUACCUAAGGUCCUUACACUAAAGUAGCAAAGCUAUUAUAGCAUAGUGGCUCUAGGAUCGAACACUGGGAAGGGUUUUUACUUUAACUGGUGAAGUUCGGAGGAUGGAGUGAACUUUUCUUAAUAAAAAUUAGGUUAAGAUGAAAACAUAAAAAGAUGAAGGCGUUGUAAACUAAACUAACAUGAAACUAGGUUAAAAGAUGGAAAAAGAAGUUUCUCAGAGCUUUGGAUAGCCAUGCUUAACUCAUUGUGUAAAAAUGGAGAUUUUGGGACUCUUCACCUUGAGUUGGGGAAGCAACUAAGGUGAUGCUUACUUCCCGAACCGGUAUGAGUUUAACAACUGAGUUUUAGUCCUUGAAAACUUACAAAAAGGGUAGCUGAACCUCAUAAAUGCUCUUUUAUUGGUAUAGGUCAUCUCCUCGACUUGCAAUACAAUGGCUUGUAGGAGAUAAUUAAUGAACGUCAGUGGAUCUAACAAUAAGAAUCCACUGAGACCAAAAGGUUAUCAAGUAUUGGC
rnacentral:lncRNA from 1 species